rnacentral:lncRNA from 1 species
GGCCGGCAGGACGGCUCGGAGAGCGAGGCAGUGGCGGUGGCCCUGGCAGGUCGGCUGCGGGAGCUCCUGCGGGACCUGCCGCCUGAGAACCGGGCCUCGCUGCAGUACCUGCUGCGUCACCUACGCAGGCCCGCGUCAUCGAGACUCUCAUCGUCCACUACGGCCUGGUCUUCGAGGAGGAGCCGGAGGAGACCCCCGGGGGCCAGGACGAGUCAUCCAACCAGCGAGCUGAGGUAGUCGUCCAGGUGCCGUACCUGGAGGCGGGCGAGGCGGUGGUCUACCCGCUGCAGGAGGCGGCGGCGGACGGGUGCAGAGAAUCCCGAGUUGUGUCCAACGAUUCGGACUCGGACCUAGAGGAGGCCUCCGAGCUGCUGUCCUCAUCGGAGGCCAGUGCCCUGGGCCACCUCAGCUUCCUGGAGCAGCAGCAGAGCGAGGCCAGCCUAGAGGUGGCUUCUGGCAGCCACAGCGGCAGUGAGGAGCAGCUGGAGGCCACAGCCCGGGAGGACGGGGACGGGGACGAGGACGGCCCGGCCCAGCAGCUCUCAGGAUUCAACACCAACCAGUCCAACAACGUGCUGCAGGCCCCACUGCCCCCCAUGAGGCUCCGUGGCGGGCGGAUGACACUGGGCUCCUGCAGGGAAAGGCAGCCGGAAUUCGUGUGAGCUGGGGUGGGGCUGGGACCACAGGUGGCUUCUCUCUUGCCUGCUCCUGUCCCUCCAGCACGUCCCCUGCACCACGGCAUAGCUUAGGUGCGCCGUCCUGGGGUCGCUGCCGAGAGCGCCUGGACUUCGACGUCCCACCAGCGGGCGCCUCCUCCCAGAGGCUUCCAGGAGCACGAGGGCCUUGCGGCACAGGACUGUGCCCUGUGCUGUCCCCUGCACCCCGGCUCAGCUGAGCUGGGGAACACUGCUGUCGUGUGAAGUCACAGUGGCCUUGUUGGUGCCCACAGGGCUGUGUGGAUGGAGGAAGCUGUCCCUGCCCAGUGCAUCCCCCAGGUCAUCACGGGGACGCAGGAGGCAGGCCCUGCCCUGCCCUCUCCUCACAGGUCUGUUGCAGGGACUCCAGAAACCAUUCUGGGAGCCGUGGAUGGGGGCGGAGCUGGGGUUUGGUGCAGUUUCCAGGGUGCAGUACAGCAGGGCCUGAAUACUGGCCCUGGACUCCCUUUUCCAGAACACCAGGUGUGGCCACCUGGGGCUCAGGUACACAGUGGGGUCUCUCGGAAGCCACCGUGUGGUUCUUUCACAGGCACGUUUAUUUUGCUGAAAUAAAAAGUUUUUAAUCGGG